GGUAGGGUAGCCGAGUGUAGGCGGUGGGUUGUAGCCCCGAAGACAAAGGUUUAAAUCCUUUUCCUAUCA
rnacentral:tRNA from 1 species